UACAGAGGUCUCAAGCGUUGUUCGGAAUCACUGGGCGUAAAGGGUGCGUAGGCCGCACGGUAAGUCAGAGGUGAAAUCCCGGAGCUCAACUCCGGAAUGGCCUCCGAUACUGCCGUGCUCGAGGACUGGAGAGGAGUCUGGAAUUCACAGUGGAGCAGUGAAAUGCGUGGAUAUUGUGAGGAACACUAGUGGCGAAGGCGAGACUCUGGACAGUUACUGACGCUGAGGCACGAAGGCCAGGGGAGCAAACGGG
rnacentral:rRNA from 1 species